ACACCCUAACCUAAUCGAACCUCUAAAAGUCCCACCACAUUCCCAAAAACAAUUAUGCUAGUUGAGAAUAAGAAGCAACUAUUUUAAAAACAAUAACAAACAAUGAUUACGAAACAAAGGAAACGAGAGACGUACUGUCGAAGAUUAGGAACCUAGGAGAAAUAGCACGAGAGAUCAAUUGCUUAAACCCUAGUGUCUCUCAAGUCUCAAACCUCCGAGCAAAAAGUGUCUUUUUCCUUUCUUUCUUUUUUUCUUUGCCAGCGA